AUGCCAAGAUUGAUACGGCAAAAAACAUUUGAGCUUGAAUCAAGUGAGGAAAAACUUGCCAUCUUGCGGAAAGAGUAUGAAAAACAACUGGGUGACAAAGUAUUCAACGAGAAUCGGACCAUAAGCGAAUCACAAAAUGGAUUGAAUGAGAGCUCAAAGUCGGAGUUUCCAGCUGCCUGUUUCAAGAAUGAAGUUCCAUCUUUAAAUUCACCGGACUCUUUAAACAACGAUGAUCAACCUGAAGAAAACUUCCAGCGCAAAGAGUUUGUCGAAGAUUCCUUGAAUGUAAGUGCAAGCAAGGCACUUCCAAAAAGUUGCUCAGAUGAGCCCAGUGCAACGAGCACACCUCAAUCCUCUCCAAAAUCUACGUGGAGCAAGGAAGUGGUGGGAUGUAACGGUGAAAAUGAUAGCUUUGUCAGCCCUAAGAGCGACAAAAGUAAGGUGAAUAGUCAUGAAUCCAUACCGAUUGUGUCAGGAGGGAUUGAAGUUAAGGACAUGUCAAAUCCAAUUAGUCUUGGGCACUCGAGUAACGCAAGUCCAUCUAUGUCUCGAAAAAUUGAAUCAUCACCUAUCUUGUCAAGUGGAGCUGUCAGCAUGGAGGCAGAGCCAAAGGUGCGUAAAAAGCGGAUUAAUCCACUAAAUAGCGAGUCUUGGAUCAUUGAUUUAAGUGAUGUUUCAAAGUCAUCAAACACUUCAAGAUUUGAUGAUUCAGAAGAUGCAUCAACCCCACCGCGAUCUGCAAAGUCAUCGUCUUCAGGGUCAAGUUUCUUCAUUGAUCUUAAUGAGCUCUCUAAAGACCAAGAUAGUUCUCAAAGUCCAAAGCCUGUGAGUCAAUUAAAACUUCUUAAGAACAGUCGGAAAGAGUUCCAGAAAGUGUUGAAUGUUGAGAAGACGAAAGUCGAUCAAAAUCUGCAAACGAGAAGUUGUGGUUUUUUUGUUAACCUGAACGAUGAGCCUUUGACCGUACCGCAAAGCUGUGCAAAAAGCAAUGAUAAUUUGUUUACCAUGUUCAUUGACCUCAACGACACACCGAGAUCCAAUUCAUUGGAACAACCAGGCAGAGCAGCAAUUGUCAGGAAAAGAUUACAAUCUCAUGCUGAAAAAUUUUCACUGAAGCAAAACGCUAAGUCAGAUGCAAGGAAUCAGAAUUACGAACAUCCGGAAGUUGCAAAAGGCAAGUAUCUUUUCAGUGACUUUGCUGUAGCUUCUAGUCGCAAUCCUAGUCAACCCCAAUCAGAUCAUAGUGAUCACUCUGGAUUCACCAAGAAUCCAACCCUAGAGUUUCAAGUGCACCGACCAGACAUAAGAGGACGCAUAGUAUUUCGAUUGAUAAAAUACAGCAGCAAAUCAGUAGAAUUCCUGAUGUUGAUAAAUUUACUGCAGCCCAAAAGUCUGCGUGUUCUGGACCUGCAUCUUUAA
rnacentral:lncRNA from 1 species